UGUGGACUCCUGCUCCUGGCCUUGGCUCUCUUGACCCUCACUUUUGAACUCCUGGAGCUGAGCACCAGCCCUGGCAUCCCAAGAGGGCAGCAGUCAGCGAGGGAACAGAACAAACCCUUGCACAAGCAGCACCUACUGCCUGGAGAGCAAGGAGCAGCAGAGGCCAAGCUGCAAUUCCCUCCACGGCUGCAUCCACAAGGGAGUGCAAGGGAGUCAGACUCUCCUCUUUUUCUUUUCUUGUCCUGUUUUUCCUCCUCUUGGUAUUUUGCUGCACCCAGCUUUUGAUUUUAUCUUUCUGCUCUUUACCUCUCUCACCAAGAAAAUGGUCAAGUUGUUGACUCGGAGAUAUUUAUCUGAAUACUUCAGCCAUUUGAGUCUCCUCACAAUAUGCCUUGGAGGGCUGAACUGCUGUUAUGAGUCUAUUACUUCCAAGGGCUUAUUAGGCAGCAUCCCUCUUCACAGUGAAGCCUGCAGAAUGACAUCAGACCAUGUGGAGAAGGAAAGGGCUGUUUAAGCUAAAGGACGCUAUGCUGGUGUGUGACAUACCAUCUAAUGAAUGAGAUUCUUCUUGCCUGCAUGAUUAAAAGCUUAUAAUGCUUCUGCUGCUACUGAAAACAAACCUCCUUGCUUUGUCGCUGAGUGAGUUUGGU